CGGUAAAAGCUCAAAUUUGAAAUCUGGCUCUUUUAGAGUCCGAAUUGUAAUUUGUAGAAGAUGCUUCGGGUGUGGUUCCGGUCUAAGUUCCUUGGAACAGGACGUCAUAGAGGGUGAGAGCCCCGU
rnacentral:rRNA from 1 species